rnacentral:misc_RNA from 1 species
UCUCCGUAGGUGAACCUGCGGAGGGAUCAUUACUGAGUGAGGGCCUUCGGGCUCGACCUCCAACCCUUUGUGAAUCGUACUCGUUGCUUCGGGGGCGACCCUGCCGUCCGCGGCUGAGCGCCCCCGGGGUCAAUCAAACACUGCAUCUUUGCGUCGGAGUCCUAAUGAAUUUAAACAAAACUUUUAACAACGGAUCUCUUGGUUCUGGCAUCGAUGAAGAACGCAGC